GAUAAGAUGGUCGAGACUUAGGCAAUAGACUGUAAAUCUAUAUACGAGGGUUACCCUCUUUUAUCA
rnacentral:tRNA from 1 species